ACAGUAGAGAGAGAGAGAGAGGGGAUGCUUAACUCAACCGACCUGGUGAUUACUCCAAAAUGAAAGCAAUAUUUCUCAUAGUAUGCAUUCUCUUUGCUUCCUCUUUCUUUAUUCCCACUUCCACCAUGGCUCGACAACUAGUCGAGAAAGGUAUCCCUAAUAAGCUUCCAGCUGUACGUAAUCAAUGCGGCCGCAAUCCUAUUUUCAAAAACUGCAGCCCUAUAAAUAGACCCGGAAAGCCUAUUGUGUGCCCUGAUCCUGCCCUGACUGUUUGCCAUCCUCCUGGACCUUGAAUGGAGGAAAACUAUGGAUUUAUUAGCAAACAAUGUAAAGAAAAUAGCUAAUAAGUUGCCAGCUACUGUAUCGUUGGUAUAGGAAUAGGAAAUUUAAGUUGCCCAUCAUUUGUAUCAUGAAUUCUACUUUGUCUACAACGUAGUGUAUUUUUAUACAUACGUUAUAAAUAAAAAGCUAGUGACCACCUCGGCUUACUUAUAAA